CGGGAUUUUAUUUCUGCUGGCAGGUCUCGCAGCAACAAGAGCGCAAGAAUUGGACCUUGGCGACGCCUUUGGUGAUGAUGAUGAGAUCCCCACAGAGAAGCCAAAAGUGAAACCACCCCCACCCAAAAAGUCAGAUCCAGGAUUUGAUUUGUUAGAUGCUUUUGAUUCAGAGCCUAAAAAUCCUGCUGUUGUUCCCCCCAAAUCAGUGGAUGGUAA